rnacentral:rRNA from 1 species
GACGAACGCUGGCGGCGUGCCUAAUACAUGCAAGUUGAGCGCUGAAGGUUGGUACUUGUACCAACUGGAUGAGCAGCGAACGGGUGAGUAACGCGUGGGGAAUCUGCCUUUGAGCGGGGGACAACAUUUGGAAACGAAUGCUAAUACCGCAUAAAAACUUUAAACACAAGUUUUAAGUUUGAAAGAUGCAAUUGCAUCACUCAAAGAUGAUCCCGCGUUGUAUUAGCUAGUUGGUGAGGUAAAGGCUCACCAAGGCGAUGAUACAUAGCCGACCUGAGAGGGUGAUCGGCCAAAUUGGGACUGAGACACGGCCCAAACUCCUACGGGAGGCAGCAGUAGGGAAUCUUCGGCCAUGGACGAAAGUCUGACCGAGCAACGCCGCGUGAGGAAAGAAGGUUUUCGGAUCGUAAAACUCUGUUGGUAGAGAAGAACGUUGGUGAGAGUGGAAAGCUCAUCAAGUGACGGUAACUACCCAGAAAGGGACGGCUAACUACGUG